rnacentral:rRNA from 1 species
AAUGGGUCAGCGACUUAUAUUCUGUAGCAAGGUUAACCGAAUAGGGGAGCCGAAGGGAAACCGAGUCUUAACUGGGCGUUAAGUUGCAGGGUAUAGACCCGAAACCCGGUGAUCUAGCCAUGGGCAGGUUGAAGGUUGGGUAACACUAACUGGAGGACCGAACCGACUAAUGUUGAAAAAUUAGCGGAUGACUUGUGGCUGGGGGUGAAAGGCCAAUCAAACCGGGAGAUAGCUGGUUCUCCCCGAAAGCUAUUUAGGUAGCGCCUCGUGAAUUCAUCUCCGGGGGUAGAGCACUGUUUCGGCAAGGGGGUCAUCCCGACUUACCAACCCGAUGCAAACUGCGAAUACCGGAGAAUGUUAUCACGGGAGACACACGGCGGGUGCUAACGUCCGUCGUGAAGAGGGAAACAACCCAGACCGCCAGCUAAGGUCCCAAAGUCAUGGUUAAGUGGGAAACGAUGUGGGAAGGCCCAGACAGCCAGGAUGUUGGCUUAGAAGCAGCCAUCAUUUAAAGAAAGCGUAAUAGCUCACUGGUCGAGUCGGCCUGCGCGGAAGAUGUAACGGGGCUAAACCAUGCACCGAAGCUGCGGCAGCGACACUAUGUGUUGUUGGGUAGGGGAGCGUUCUGUAAGCCUGUGAAGGUGUACUGUGAGGUAUGCUGGAGGUAUCAGAAGUGCGAAUGCUGACAUAAGUAACGAUAAAGCGGGUGAAAAGCCCGCUCGCCGGAAGACCAAGGGUUCCUGUCCAACGUUAAUCGGGGCAGGGUGAGUCGACCCCUA